CGUUGGCAUCGAUUGCGUUUCUGUCGGUUAAUUUGUUCAAAUUGUCCGCGGUUUGCCGCGGUACUUUUGGUCGAUCGGCAUUGCGUAGCUCGGUUUUAAUUCAGCUUUGAUAUAUCAAUCCGAGCUUGUGUAUCAGACUCUACGGGCCGCUACGACGAAGCGAACGUGCCUAGAGGCUGUGAACCAAGUCAGCUGCUGUGCUUCACCGACGUCCGACUGCGCAGCCUCCAGCGUGAAAAUUAAACGCCGGCAAAUCGCUCGGAGACUGCCCACGAAGACGGAAUAAUCUUGCACAAUGUGGGCGUGUUCGCCGCCUCCAAGAAACUGCUCAUAUCAGUGUAGGCUUGGAUGUCUCAUCACUCUGAACCGACCUCAAGUCAGCGUAGAAUGUGUCAUCACUGAAAUCAAGCUCAUUGGCUAAAAUUCUCGCAAGAAAACUGGACUAAAGAGAGACCAUUGAUUUCCAAGCUACCCACAUCUAGUCGUUAGAAGCUCUACAGUUGCCAUAGUGACAACCCCAUGCGCCACCAAUAUGCCAGGCGGACAAAUGGAAGCCUUAUACUGAAAAGCAGUGAUAGCGUACGGUAUGUACAAGCUGUACAAAAUUGGGUGCACAGAUUGUUGUUUCUUGCUUUAUGAAUUACUCAGUUUACAGGAAAUGUGCAGGCUUCAAAAUUCUUGGACAGUGCAUGUCAUGGGGUGCACAUACUGUACUUCACUCUACGUGUCGAACUUUGCAUAGAGUAUCACAUAUAACUAGGUAACCAAUGGGCUUGUAGUAGCGCAUAUUUAGCAGCACUUCUUUUUCCCAUUGUGUAUAGAUUGCUGUGAAUGUAAAGACUGUUGCAAGGCAGUGGUAGGUACAGCUAUAGUAGUGUUGAAACAGUUACUUAUACUGCGUGCAUGUCGGGAGUGACACUGUCAAAGUACUAAAAAAACUGUGCAAGAACUCGUGCCUUCAUUAAGCAAGACAUGUCUUGCGGAGGUAGCAAUCGCGGAGCCGAACCAUGAGAGUAAAUAAAAUACCUAGAAAAAUAAGGUAGAAUAAUAAUGGGUGGAUCACAUUCGGCAUGCAUUCUCAAAUCAUGAAUGAUAAUCUGUCAGUAAUCCUCAAGAGCUAGAGGGUUAUAACAGCUAGAGAGUAUAUAACAGCUGUGUCUUGCCCGUACUUACCUACGGAGCAGAAACCUAGAGGCUUACAAAGAGGUUUCAGCUUAAAUUGAGGACGAUGCAGCGAGCGAUGGAAAGGAAAUUGAUAGAUGUAACCUUAAGACACAAAAAGAGAGCAGAGUGGGUCAGGGAACAAAUCAGUGUUAAGGAUAUCGUAGUUUAAAUCAAGGGCUGGGCACGUAGUACGCAGGCAGAAUAACCGCUGGUCAUUAAGGGUAACUGACUGGAUUCACAGAGAAGGAAAACACAUGAAGUGAAGAC